rnacentral:lncRNA from 1 species
GGUGCAUGCCCCCACUGACCUGCGCCCACUGUCUGGCUCUCCCAAGUGAGAUGAACCCGGUACCUCAGAUGGAAAUGCAGAAAUCACCCGUCUUCUGCGUCACUCACGCUGGGAGUUGUAGACCGGAGCUGUUCCUAUUCGGCCAUCUUGGCUGACAUUGAUUAAUCAUGAUUUGUUUAUACCUAGAAGUGAAUAUGUAGAAGUGACAUGGCUGGGUGCUGUGGUAUUCUAUAGAUUACUUUGAAAUGAAAAUGUUACCUGGGUGUGUGAGCUGAGAGUUUGGACUUUUCAUCUGACAAUGAAUGAUACCGUAUUUGACCUUGAAGAGGGUACUGGACCUUACCAUUGUCUAUAUGUAGAAGCAGGAAUGAUUCAGAUACCUAAUGAUUAUUAAAAAUGCUUUGAUGCCUCAAAUGAAAUAAC